ACCCACGCCGCGCGACCCGCAGCCGCCGCCAGGGCCCUCUGCUGCCGCGGAGGUGCUAGGACAGCCGCGGACGGCCCGCCUCCCCGUGCCCCGGGCCUCGAGGCCAAUAAAAAGCUCGCCCCUCCAGCUCACCGGGUCCGACGGGUACGGUACAAAGUGCUGUCUCUCGCCACAGCCACCUUUGUGACAAUAAAAGCAAUAAGGCUAAUGUCCAUGGGGCGCUCACGUUUAUGCAUGAACAGAGAAAGCUGAGAUACGGAGACUAGUGAUCCGUCGAGGUAAUAAACGGCACAGGUGGGGUUUGAACUCCAUCAGUUUGAUUGCAGAGGCCUGGAACAACCCUACAGCCUUCUCUCAGAUCUUUUCUGGACCUUUUUCUAUGCGCUUUGCACCUAGGACGUGAGGCUGCCAAGCUUGGUAUUCAAUAAAUAUUGAUGGAUGAAGGAACAAUGGAAGAAAGGAGUGCAUGGGUAAACAAAUGACAAAUAUGUCAAAGCACGGAUGCAGAUUCUUAGAAUGGGCUAAUGCUGUUUUCUGCUGGAUUUUUGGAUGUGUACAAACGAGUUCUCUCACAAUACAGAUCCACAGUGUCUGGGUCAGAGGAGAACUGAUGCUCCGCAUGGCAUUUUACCAUCCUGCCUGCCUGCCUGGGGCCCUGGGCCCACAGGCUUUGGGGAGAGUGUAUGGCCAGGCUGCAGCCUUCCUGGGAUAAAGCUCUGCCUUUUAGUCUCUUAUCCUACUUUUUAGAAGCCCUUUAAGGUCUUUGUUAAAGGAAAUCUAAUGUGAAGAAUUCCAGGAGAACUGGAUAAGCCUGACUAUGGGUGGGCGUGACUGAAUUACUUCCCGGGCUGGCUAAGGAAGGCCUCCCCCGAAGUGCAUCGGAAGCCUGCAGCUUCUCCUUAUGGCCACUGGAGGGCACUUGGACCAUGAAAUACCAGAUCGUCUCGGCGUCCCAGGUCUUUGGAAAUGUGUGAUUCAAUUCAGCAAACGUUUCAAAAUCAUCACUAUAAAGAUAGCGCUUUUGUGUUGAACAUCCAAUAUGGCGCUAAACACCUUAUAUAUAUGUGUGCGUGUAUAUAUGAACUUGCUUAAUAUUAACUACAAUUGUUGUGAGUUACUUAGGCUAUUUAGGAAAAAAAAAUCAAGGCUUAAAGAAGUCAAAGUACUUACCCAAGAUUGCUUAGCUAAAUAAAAUUUGGGAGUAAGGACUUGAACUCAAGCCCUUGGGCACCAACCAUAAGCAAUAGGUGCACACAAAGCUGAAAUGAGGACUCUCUUAUAAGCAGGAAGACGCACACACCACACAAAUAUUAUUGUUCCUCAACAAUUUACACAUUCUGAAAUUGGAAGAUGACUUACAAUUUGUACAUUACAUGGUAAUGUUUCUUUUUUCCCUUGAAAUGAUGUUAUUAAAUAAAUGAAGUGUCUCACAA
rnacentral:lncRNA from 1 species